UGGGGAAUAUUGGAUAAUGGGGGGAACCCUUAUCCAGCCAUGCCGCGUGUGUUAAGAAGGCCUUAUGGUUGUAAAGCACUUUAAGCGAGGAGGAGGGUACUGGUAUUACUACUACCAGCUACCGGACGUUACUCGCAGAAUAAGCACCGGCUAACUCUGUGUCAGCAGCCGCGGUAAUACAGAGGGUGCGAGCGUUAAUCGGAUUUCCUGGUCGUAAAGCGUGCGUAGGCGGCUAAUUGAGUCGGAUGUGAAAUCGCCGAGCUUAACUUGGGAAUUGCAUACGAUACUGGUUAGCUAGGAUGUGGGAGAGGAUGGUAGAAGUCCAGGUGUUGCGGUGAAAUGCGUAGUUAUAGGAAGGAACACCAGUGACAAAGGCGACCAACUGGGCUCAUACUGACACUGAAGUGCGAAAGCGUAGGGAGCUAACAGG
rnacentral:rRNA from 1 species